CCUACGGGAGGCAGCAGUGAGGAAUAUUGGUCAAUGGGCGUAAGCCUGAACCAGCCAAGUCGCGUGAGGGAUGAAGGUUCCAUGGAUCGUAAACCUCUUUUAUCAGGGAACAAAGUGCGGGACGUGUCCCUUUCUGUAUGUACCUUAUGAAUAAGGAUCGGCUAACUCCGUGCCAGCAGCCGCGGUAAUCGGGGGGAUCCGAGCGUUAUCCGGAUUUAUGGGGUUUAACGGGUGCGUAGGCGGCCUUUUAAUUCAGCGGUAAAAGCCCGGGGCCAAACCAAGAACAGCCGUUGAAACUGGGAGGCUUGAGAUUGUGUGAGGCAGGCGGAAUGCGUGGUGUAGCGGUGAAAUGCUUAGAUAGCGCGCAGAACCCCGAUUGCGAAGGCAGCAUGCCGGGCCAGGACUGACGCUGAGGCACGAAAGCGUGGGGAUCGAACAGGAUUAGAUACCCCAGUAGUC
rnacentral:rRNA from 1 species